rnacentral:miRNA from 1 species
UUGGUUAAAGCGCCUGUCUAGUAAACAGGAGAUCCUGGGUUCGAAUCCCAGCGGUGCCUGCGCGGGCCCAACCCGCCUUUUGC